GACGAACGCUGGCGGCGCGCUUAACACAUGCAAGUCGAACGGAAAGGCCUGCUUUCCCUUGUGGAUUGCGGGUACUCGAGUGGCGAACGGGUGAGUAACACGUGAGUGAUCUGCCCCCAACUUGGGUAUAAGCCCGGGAAACUGGGUCUAAUUCCCGAUAGGACUGCAGGGUGGUGCCUGUGGUGGAAAACGAUUUUCUAGUGGUUGGGGAUGAGCUCGCGGCCUAUCAGCUUGUUGGUGGGGUAAUGGCCUACCACGGCGGCGACGGGUAGCCGGCCUGAGAGGGUGGACGGCCGCAUUGGGACUGGGAUACGGCCCAGACUCCUACGGGAGGCAGCAGUGGGGAAUAUUGCACCAUGGGCGGAAGCCUGAUGCAGCGACGCCGCGUGGGGGAUGACGGCCUUCGGGUUGUAAACUCCUUUCGACCGCGAGGAAGCCACCUGGUUGGAAGGGUGGUGACGGUAGUGGUAGAAGAAGCACCGGCUAACUACGUG
rnacentral:rRNA from 1 species